rnacentral:lncRNA from 1 species
ACACUCCCCUCCUGCUACCUAGGCAGGCGUGAGGGUGUGACGGCCGCGCAUUCGCCAGACGAGAGCGAUGGCUGAGAACGCCGCACCAGGUCGCCUUAGACUCACCAGGUCGCCUUAGACUUAGAUGGGACGGGGAGGCCUCGCGCGAGCGCCCCAUUGCCCACCCACCUGGUUGGGACUGUGGAGGAGGGCGGAUGGAGUGGAGGGUUCACCGACCGCGUCGCCCUUCUGGGUGUCGCAGCUCCUUCCUCGGCAGUCCCGGGGCGUGAGAGCGCGACCGGCCGGGAGUUGGGGGACCCGGGACACGGCCGCACGUGGCCUCCCAGGGUUCUAGGAGACCCUGAGUUAGCCGGGCGUGCGCGUGGGUGUCGGGGGCGCGCAGGUCUCCAGCCUUGCAGAGACGGAGGAGGCUGCCAGCUGUGGGGGGCGGCGGUGGGUCCUGGAGUCCCACCGCCUGCCCUAAAUUUCCACUCCGCCCCUGUCGCCCAGUGUGACCUUGGGCAUGUACUGCAGCUCCCAGUGCCUCAGUUUCCUGCUCUGUGGAGGGAGAGUGACAGUGCUCCCACCUGCUGCGUGUGUGAGGGUUUGGCACCCCUCUGGCCUUUGUGAAAGGCUUAGGAAACGGGCUGUUUCUUUACUCCGGUUUUACAGGAAAGGAAACUGAGGCUCAAGACGUUUUAGUAACUUCUCCAAGGUUACCCAGCCAGCAAGUGAUGGGGUCCAGGCCUGACCAGCGCCCCCGCCCCAGCACAUUCUAGAAGGUUCUGCCCCAGUUUAAAUGGGGUGCAUGCUCUGAGGCCUGUCACAGCUUUUUCCGGCUUAGCUUCUCUGUCCCUCCUCUGGGAGUCUCCACUCCCAUGUCUGACUCUCUCCCCAUAACCUUCUGGGGCAGCUAAGGGUCUGAGUCCCUCUGGACAUGAGCCCCUGGCUCAAGCACAUCAGGGAGAGAUAAGGGGCUCAGGGAGCACCAGCUUCAUGGGUGAAUGAAUGAAGGAAUGAAAGACCCGGCUGUGUCUUUCAGGUCUGAUCUCAGAGCUGAAGCUGGCUGUGCCCUGGGGCCACAUCGCAGCCAAAGCCUGGGGCUCCCUGCAGGGCCCUCCAGUUCUCUGCCUGCACGGCUGGCUGGACAAUGCCAGCUCCUUCGACAGACUCAUCCCUCUUCUCCCGCAAGACUUUUAUUACGUUGCCAUGGAUUUCGGAGGUCAUGGGCUCUCGUCCCAUUACAGCCCAGGUGUCCCAUAUUACCUCCAGACUUUUGUGAGUGAGAUCCGAAGAGUUGUGGCAGCCUUGAAAUGGAAUCGAUUCUCCAUUCUGGGCCACAGCUUCGGUGAGUACAGUGGCCAGGAGCUGACCGGGCCCGGAGUAGGGCUGGGAGGGAAGGAUAGGAGCUGCUGCCCCACCCCUUUCCCCUGCACUUAUGAGAUCUGCAAAGAGAGAUGAGAGGGUCAGUCAGAGGUUGACCACUGUACCCUCUGACCUCAGGCAACUGCCGCAAGGGACACAGGGAUGAGGGAAAUGUGGUCUUUUGAGUGGUCAGGUCUGAUGAAGGGGACAUCAUGGCCCAGAUGCUGAGCCCCCAGCCACCCAU